ensembl:miRNA
GUCCUUGAGGCUGAGGUAGUAGAUUGAAUAGUUGUGGAGUCCUACCCUCCCUUUGAGCUAACUAUACAAUCUACUGUCUUUCCUAAGGAGAC